AUUGAACGCUGGCGGCAGGCCUAACACAUGCAAGUCGAGCGGUAGAGAGGAGCUUGCUUCUCUUGAGAGCGGCGGACGGGUGAGUAAUGCCUAGGAAUCUGCCUGGUAGUGGGGGAUAACGUUCGGAAACGGACGCUAAUACCGCAUACGUCCUACGGGAGAAAGUGGGGGAUCUUCGGACUUCACGCUAUCAGAUGAGCCUAGGUCGGAUUAGCUAGGUGGUGAGGUAAAGGCUCACCAAGGCGACGAUCCGUAACUGGUCUGAGAGGAUGAUCAGUCACACUGGAACUGAGACACGGUCCAGACUCCUACGGGAGGCAGCAGUGGGGAAUAUUGGACAAUGGGCGCAAGCCUGAUCCAGCCAUGCCGCGUGUGUGAAGAAGGUCUUCGGAUUGUAAAGCACUUUAAGUUGGGAGGAAGGUCAGUAGCUUAAUACGUUGCUGAUUUGACGUUACCGACAGAAUAAGCACCGGCUAACUCUGUGCCAGCCGCCGCCGUAAGAC
rnacentral:rRNA from 1 species